CGCACAUUGCGCCCUUUGGUAUUCCGAGGGGCACGCCUGUUCGAGCGUCAUUUCAACCCUCAAGCUCAGCUUGGUCUUGGGCCGCGCCCCCCUGUACGGCGGCGGACCCCAAACUCGUUGGCGGCGUUGGCUCCCCGAGCGUGACAGAAUCACGGUGACGGGGGCGGACGCCCGCUCGAUUUACUUCCUCAAGGUUGACCUCGGAUCAGGCGGGGAUACCCGCUGAACUUAA
rnacentral:misc_RNA from 1 species